CCACUAUUCCGUUAGUGGUAGCCUAGUGCCACCUGCAUCUGCGGUAACAAAGAUGUUGGGAAGCUGGCACGACAAAGUAGCCCUUUGCGAUAUGCAAGAAGUGGAAACCGUGAGGUGGAAACAAAACUGCGAGCAUCAAUGCGGUUAGGG
rnacentral:ncRNA from 1 species